GGGCCCGCACAAGCGGUGGAGUAUGUGGCUCAAUUCGAUGCAACGCGAAGAACCUUACCUGGCCUUGACAUGCAGGAGACCGACGCUGAAAGGCGUCUUUCCUUCGGGACUGCUGCACAGGUGCUGCAUGGCUGUCGUCAGCUCGUGUCGUGAGAUGUUGCGUUAAGUCGCGCAACGAGCGCAACCCCUGUCCUUAGUUGCCAUCAUUCAGUUGGGCACUCUAGGGAGACAAACCCUCUUUGAGGGUGGGAAGGUGGGGAUGACGUCAAGUCAGGAUGGCCCUUACGGCCAGGGCUGCACACGUACUACAAUGCCCGGUACAGAGGGAUGCAAUACCGCGAGGUGGAGCAAAUCCUCAAAACCGGGCCCAGUUCAGAUUGUAGUCUGCAACUCGACUACAUGAAGUUGGAAUCGCUAGUAAUGGCGCAUCAGCUACGGCGCCGUGAAUACGUUCCCGGGCCUUGUACACACCGCCCGUCACGUCAUGAAAGCCGGUUUCGCCCGAAGUGCGUUUGCCAACCAGCAAUGGAGGCGGCGCCCUAAGGUGAGGCUGGUGAUUGGGACGAAGUCGUAACAAGGUAACCGUAGGGGAACCUGCGGUU
rnacentral:rRNA from 1 species